rnacentral:rRNA from 1 species
GAUGAACGCUGGCGGCGUGCUUAACACAUGCAAGUCGAACGAAGCACUUAAGAUUGUUUCUUCGGAUGACGUCUUUUGUGACUUAGUGGCGGACGGGUGAGUAACGCGUGGGUAACCUGCCUCACACAGGGGGAUAACAGUUAGAAAUGACUGCUAAUACCGCAUAACCCGAUAGGAUCGCAUGAUCCAGACGGAAACGAUUGCUCGGUGUGAGAUGGACUCGCGUCUGAUUAGCUAGUUGGUGAGGUAACGGCACAGCAAGGCGAGGAGCAGUAGCCGGGAUGAGAGGGGGACCGGUCACGUUGGGAAUGAGACACGGACCCAACUCCUACGGGAGGGAGCAGAGGGGAAUAUUACACGAUGGAGCAAGCCCUGAUGCAGCGACGCCGCGUGAGUGAAGAAGUGUUUCGGUAUGUACAGCUGUAUGAGAAGGGAAGAGAAUGACGGUACCUGACUAAGAAGCACCGGCUAACUACGUG